rnacentral:rRNA from 1 species
GGUGCUGGAAGGUUAAGGGGAUCUGUUAGAGUAAUCGAAGCAGUGAACUUAAGCCCCAGUAAACGGCGGCCGUAACUAUAACGGUCCUAAGGUAGCGAAAUUCCUUGUCGGGUAAGUUCCGACCCGCACGAAAGGCGUAACGAUUUGGGCACUGUCUCAACAACAGACUCGGUGAAAUUGUAAUUCCGGUGAAGAUGCCGGAUACCUGCGACAGGACGGAAAGACCCCAUGGAGCUUUACUGUAGCUUGACAUUGGGUCUUGGUACUACAUGUACAGGAUAGGUGGGAGGCUUUGAAACCAGGACGCCAGUUUUGGCGGAGCCAUCCUUGGGAUACCACCCUUGUAGUACUGGGACUCUAACCAUAGGCCAUGAAUCUGGUCUUGGGACACUGUCAGGUGGGCAGUUUGACUGGGGCGGUCGCCUCCCAAAAGGUAACGGAGGCGCUCAAAGGUUCUCUCAGUACGGUCGGAAAUCGUACGUAGAGUGUAAAGGCAAAAGAGAGCUUGAUUGCAAGACAUACAGGUCGAGCAAGGAUGAAAAUCGGACUUAGUGAUCCGGUGGUUCUGCGUGGAAGGGCCAUCGCUCAACGGAUAAAAGCUACCCUGGGGAUAACAGGCUUAUCUCCCCCAAGAGUCCACAUCGACGGGGA